UCUAAUUGCUGCUGCUAGUGGUUCAAUAAAAAUUGCAAACAGUGAAGGGGAGAGUGGGCAUCCCUGCCUGGUGCCCCUCAAGAGACAGAAGCUGGAGGAUGUCUGGUCAUUUGUUCUAACACAAGCUGUUGGGGAAUUAUAUAAUAUUUUUAACCAGUUUAUGAAAGAGGAUCCAAAACCAAAUUUGUGUAAAGUUGCAAAUAGAAAUUUCCAGUUAACUGUCGAAUGCUUUUUCUGCGUCUAAAGAGAAUAUUGUAGUUUCUAGGUUUUUACUGUAUGAGUAGUCUAUCAAAUUAAGUAAUCUACGUGUAUUUGUUGAUGAGUGCCUACCUUUUAUGAAACCAGUUUGGUCAGGAUGAAUUAAGAGGGGGGUUAUUUUCUCCAGUCUCUUUGAGAGAGCUUUGCAGAUUAUUUUAAGGUCUACGUUUAUAAGGGAUAUUGGACGAUAGCUUGAGGGAUAUACAGGGUCUUUGCCUGGUUUUAGCAGGAGAUUAAUGUUUGCAGAAUUCAUAUUUGAUGGAAGUCUGCCCUUUUCUUUAAUUUCCAACAACGUUCUGUAGAAAACUGGUGCUAGAAUCGACCAGAAUUCUUUGUAGAAUUCUGCAGGAAAGCCGUCUGGACCUGGAGCCUUAUUAUUGGGCAUACUUAUCAGGGCUUCUUGGAGUUCACCUGGUGUCAGUGGUGAAUCCAGUGCCAUUGCUUGAGUGUCCAAUAAUUUUGGAAGAGUUAUGUUGUCCAAAAACUGAUCAAUUUCUUUUUUAGAUGGGUUUAUUUGUGGUGAAUACAACGUUUUAUAGAAAUCCCUGAAAAUGUUGUUUAUUUGUAUCGGAUCAUAUAUUGUGUUCCCAGAUGAAUCUUGAACAGCACAUAUAGUUGUUUUUUCUUUAUUUAUUUUUAGCUGGUUUGCUAGAAAUUGACCGGAUUUAUUACCAUGUUCAUAAUUUUGUAGGCGUAGUCUUUGUACUAAGAAUUUUGUUUUUUUAUCAAUUAUCUCAUUUAAUUCUAGUUUUGUUUUGCGUAUUUUGUUCAAUGUUUCCUGAUCUUGGUGGGACGCGUAGGCUUCUUCUAGUGAUUUGAUGUUUUUUUCUAAUUCCUGAAUAUUUAACGAGGUUAGUCAUUAAUGUAUUGCUGCAUGGGCUGGGCUGUAAUUGCAUCGUAAGGUUUUAAAAACUGAGCUUUAAAAUGAAUAGUGAUAAUAAAAACUGAGAGAGGUCGACAGUGAUCACUGACUUUUUUUAGGGGCUUGUUCAGAUUAAAUAGAAAAAGAUACAAAGCAUUAAGACACAACAGCUUUAAUAAACACAGAGUAGUUUGGACCUGGAAGCAGGGUUCAUAUGUCAUCACUUAAAGACCGGAUAUCCCACCUGCUUUGAUGUCUUAAUGCAGUACAGUUGUUAUUAUAUCACUUGUCGCAUCCUGUUUAUGACAGUUAAAAUAAAUAACAUCCAUAUAAGAAAUAAAAUUGUCUUGUGUAAACUGUAUAUGGUGUUAAAUAGGCCUAUACUACUGUACUUUAAUGUCGGGCAUAAGGGUGGUACUUUAAGAACCAUAUAUUUUAUACGGUGGUACUCAUUGUGAAAAGUUUGAGAACCACUGACCUAAAGGAUUAAUUAUUAGAAUCUCGGCUUCAGAUAGGGUGUCAACCAUUAUAACCUUGUUGGAUAGAUCAACAAAUGAAGCUGGGUUCAUUUAAAGAUCUAACUAGGCCUGUUGUCUUAUUGGUCCUCUUUCCCAAGAUUGAAAGAACUUUCUAAAAUCUUUUGAAAAAAGAUUCUGAAUUCUAAUAAGGAUUUUCUAAAUAUUAUAUAGAAAAUCAUUUCACUAAAAACACAAUAAAAAUUGUAUUGAAGAAUCAGGCAAGUUACAGAAUCAAGUGUUGUUUAUUUUGUCUACACUUUCCAGGUCUAUACUACCGUAGCAAAGGGUGUCAUGGUCCUGAGUCUGCCGACUCAGUGUUUUAUGUUUCUUUAUGCUUUUGUUCAUUUAUACAUAUUCUGUUACGAAUUGCCAUUUGUUAGGUUUCUGUUCUGUGCUUUCCCUGGUUCCACUUCUGUGUUCUGUCUGUCUAUGGUGUCACACUGUCUGUGUGUGAAUCUGUCUGUUUAGUUCAGCGUCUUGUCCAGUUCUGUGUCUGUGAGUUUCCUGUUUUAUUCUGAAGGUCUCUAUCUCAUGUGAGUGUGUUCAGUUUACGUUUCCCCUGUCCCGUCAGCUUUGAUGUUCUCCUGCCUGUUGCCGGUUCGUCACUGCCUCUCCCCCAUUCUGGAACCCUCUCAGGUUUGUCAUUUAGCUUUCCCAGUGUAGGUCUUUAGUUUUGUCUUCCUUCUUUGCCUGUUUUGCCAUCUCACCACUGUGUAAAUAAAACAUCACUAGCAUUAUCAUCUACUGCCUGCGUUUUGGGUCCUUUCUCCCUUCUACACCACACGGCUCGCCUCGGCAGCCGUGACAAAGGGUUUAUAUAUGACAUAUAAAUAUAUAUAUAUAUAUAUGUAUGUGUACAUGAUAUACCCCAAUGAAGAUAAUUAGAUGGCAUGAGUUUUAUAUUUAAUUUGUCAAUUUACAAUUAACUGUGUAAUUAAUUUAAAUAAUGUUUCAAACAAUUGGGUUCUUAUAUAAUUCGAAAUUUACCAAAAGAAAAAUAUUGCAGUGAUGUGAAUGGUUUUGGAAAAAGAUUUAUUUAGGGAUCAAAUUUAUGUUAAACAUGCAUUUUUCUUUCAUUUAAAUAUGAAUAUAUAUGGAGUCACAGUUUUCAAAUAUUCUUGUUAGUUUUGAUUUUACUGUAUUCUUUGUGCUUCUGUAUUCUAACACAAGACAACAGAAUAAAUAUGUUGAAAGAAGAUUAAUUAGAAAUCAGCAUAAAAAUGUAAUUAGAAAUGUUAAGAUUAUCUGUUAAACUUUAAUAUUUUGCAUUUGUGAAAAAAAUAACAUGUUAAAGGAAUACUUUUACAUUACAUAACUAGUUGUUUAAAAAUUAGAUGAUUGACAUCAGACUGGUACUCUUACGUUGUUAGGUUAAUAUGAUUAACGGGAAAAACACAUUUUCCAAAUACACACAUAUUAAUAUAACUAAAAAGUAAAACAAAAGGUAAAUGGACUGAUUUUUAUGUAGCACUUUUCUUGCCUCUCAUUUUUUCUUUAUACAUCCUUGCUUGCAGUAGGCACAAUAACGGGAGCAACAGCGAUAACAGGAAAGUCUGAGCUGACUGAGGAGUCCAGGAGAUCUCUCUGGUGCUGCUUCAGAUUCUUCUACCUUUAUUUGCUCUUGAUAGAUAUUUGGAGAAUCUAGUUGAACUGUUUGAUUAGCUUUGUUGCUAGUUGUCAGUGUCUUAGACGCUUUGUUUUGUAUGUAGAAUUUCUCAAUCUCACUAAGCAUGCGGACCUUAAGUUGUUGGAGCUCGGUAUAUUUUUCAUCAAGUGAUUUGUGUUCUCCAUCCCUGCCACUUACAGAUAAAAACGUAUUACUUUGCCCAUGUUCCAACAUUUUUCUUGUUUUCUCAACUGAUGUCUUUUCUUUCUGAAAUAUUGAUCUCCUAACAAAAUGAUUGAUCACCUUUACUCUUUUAUCCAUAUUGUUUCUCAUUUCUUGACCUCUGAGCUUCAUCUGAUUUAUUUCAUUUCGUUCUAUUCUAGUGUCCUUCCAGAUUUGUUUCAAAAACUCAGUUUUUAAAAUUCCCUUCUGUGUGAAGUCAUCUUCCUCUGCUGACAAGAUGGACAACGUUGCAAGAUUUGUUUUCUUGACAUUUCCAAAUUCUUCACCUUCUCCUACUAACAGCAGACCUUCCUUGUCAGGUGUCAAGUAUCUUUUGCUUCCUUCAAGAUUAACUGCAACAUCCUUCAUCCUCUGCUUAAAUUCAUGUUCAUUGGUCUCUUCAUCCUGAUGCUCAUGUAAGCAUUGUUUUACAACAUCCUCAGUUUGGAUUGCUUUGUCAAAUGUUGUCUUAAACACAUGUUUCUUUUGUUGUUGUAUCUUGUCAUAAUCUGCAGUAAUUUUAAUUUUCUGCUUAUAAAUUCUGACCCAAUUUUGUUCAUAUGUGGAGAUCACUUGUAAUAUUUUUUCAUUUUCCCCCUCUACUCUCUUAAUAUAUGUCGGCAAGUCUUGAUGAAUCAGUCUAUUUAGUUUUCCUAUAAGGUUUCUUGUAGAGAUUGUAACACUACUGAGGAUGUCCUCUCUGGGUUGUACAUCAGACAGUUCACCUUUCAGGGAUUUCCUCGCAAUUAGUUUCACUUUCAGAAUCUCUAGUGAUUUCAUUUCAUCCAUGACUUGGUCUCCCCUCAUUUCCAUCCCAGACUGCUGUUCUUCCACAUUUCUCCUUUCCUUCAACAACAGUUCUUGUUCUUUGGCAAUGUCAGUCUUCAUCUCUUUCAUCUCUUCUUUUUCUUCACUCAUGAUUCCCUUUGCACGUUCAAGCUCUUCUUGCUUCUUCUUCAGAUUCCUCAUCAGACUCUCCACUUUUGCUCUUUCACUCUGUAAUUCCUUUUUCAUGAUUUCCACUUCUUUUGUUUGUCUUCUGAGGUCAUCUUCCUUGACUUUUUCUUCAUUAUGUGUUAAGAAAAUCUUGCUUAAAAUGUCUUCAAGUCUUUCUUUUUCCGUUUGAACCUGAAGGAUACAAUUUUUAAUCUUGGCUUUUUCGUCAUUUGUCUCAUGUAACAGCCUGUUUACAUGUUCCAUCUUAUUGAGCAGUUCAAGCUUUAUGGUUUCCAUUGAGUCUCGUUCUUCUUUUAUAUUUUGUUUCUUUUCUUCCAAUAUUUCAAAUUGUUUCUUGAUGUCAGACAUCAACACCUUCAAAUCCAUUUUCUCUUUAUUCAGCACCUCACUUUCUCUCUCCAGAUCUUCUCUGUCGUGUCUCAGAUCUUCUUUCACUUUAUCAAGCUCUCGUUUGUCCAGUUCAAACUGCUGCUUCCAUUCAUUUUCUGUGCAUUCUCUCUUGGUGACCAUUUCUGAAAGGAUACUUCUCACACCUUCCUUUUCUCUCUCUAACAUUUCAGUGAAACAGCGAAUGCUUUCUUUCAGUUCGUCUUGGGUUGGAAGUUUUUCUUCCAACACUGUUUGCAGCCUUGACCUGUUGUCAACAUUUUGUAGUAAUCUCUCCAUUUUGGCUUUUAUAUCCUCCUUCAGUUGUUGAAGUUUCACUUUCAGAAUCUCUAGCAAUUUCAUUUCAUCCAUGACUUGGUCUCCUCUCAUUUCCAUCUCAGACCGCUCUUCUUCCAUAUUUCUCCUUUCCUUCAACAACAGUUCUCGUUCUUUGGCAAUGUCAGUCUUCAUCUCUUUCAUCUCUUCUUUUUCUUCACUCAUGAUUCCCUUUGCACGUUCAAGCUCUUCUUGCUUCUUCUUCAGAUUCCUCAUCAGACUCUCCACUUUUGCUCUUUCACUCUGUAAUUCCUUUUUCAUGAUUUCCACUUCUUUUGUUUGUCUUCUGAGGCCAUCUUCCUUGACUUUUUCUUCAUUAUGUGUUAAGAAAAUCUUGCUUAAAAUGUCUUCAAGUCUUUCUUUUUCCGUUUGAACCUGAAGGAUACAAUUUUUAAUCUUGGCUUUUUCGUCAUUUGUCUCAUGUAACAGCCUGUUUACAUGUUCCAUCUUAUUGAGCAGUUUAAGCUUUAUGGUUUCCAUUGAGUCUCGUUCUUCUUUUAUAUUUUGUUUCUUUUCUUCCAAUAUUUCAAAUUGUUUCAUGAUGUCAGACAUCAACACCUUCAAAUCCAUUUUCUCUUUAUUCAGCACCUCACUUUCUCUCUCCAGAUCUUCUCUGUCGUGUCUCAGAUCUUCUUUCACUUCAUCAAGCUCUCGUUUGUCCAGUUCAACCUGCUGCUUCCAUUCAUUUUCUGUGCUUUCUCUCUUGGUGACCAUUUCUGAAAGGAUACUUCUCACACCUUCCUUUUCUCUCUCUAACAUUUCAGUGAAACAGCGAAUGCUUUCUUUCAGUUCGUCUUGGGUUGGAAGUUUUUCUUCCAACACUGUUUGCAGCCUUGACCUGUUGUCAACAUUUUGUAGUAAUCUCUCCAUUUUGGCUUUUAUAUCCUCCUUCAGUUGUUGAAGUUUCACUUUCAGAAUCUCUAGCAAUUUCAUUUCAUCCAUGACUUGGUCUCCUCUCAUUUCCAUCUCAGACCGCUCUUCUUCCAUAUUUCUCCUUUCCUUCAACAACAGUUCUCGUUCUUUGGCAAUGUCAGUCUUCAUCUCUUUCAUCUCUUCUUUUUCUCCACUCAUGAUUUCCUUUGCACGUUCAAGCUCUUCUUGCUUCUUCUUCAGAUUCCUCAUCAGACUCUCCACUUUUGCUCUUUCACUCUGUAAUUCCUUUUUCAUGAUUUCCACUUCUUUUGUUUGUCUUCUGAGGCCAUAUUCCUUGACUUUUUCUUCAUUAUGUGUUAAGAAAAUCUUGCUUAAAAUGUCUUCAAGUCUUUCUUUUUCCAUUUGAACCUGAAGGAUACAAUUUUUAAUCUUGGCUUUUUCGUCAUUUGUCUCAUGUAACAGCCUGUUUACAUGUUCCAUCUUAUUGAGCAGUUCAAGCUUUAUGGUUUCCAUUGAGUCUCGUUCUUCUUUUAUAUUUUGUUUCUUUUCUUCCAAUAUUUCAAAUUGUUUCAUGAUGUCAGACAUCAACACCUUCAAAUCCAUUUUCUCUUUAUUCAGCACCUCACUUUCUCUCUCCAGAUCUUCUCUGUCGUGUCUCAGAUCUUCUUUCACUUUAUCAAGCUCUCGUUUGUCCAGUUCAAACUGCUGCUUCCAUUCAUUUUCUGUGCAUUCUCUCUUGGUGACCAUGUCUGAAAGGAUACUUCUCACACCUUCCUUUUCUCUCUCUAACAUUUCAGUGAAACAGCGAAUGCUUUCUUUCAGUUCGUCUUGGGUUGGAAGUUUUUCUUCCAACACUGUUUGCAGCCUUGACCUGUUGUCAACAUUUUGUAGUAAUCUCUCCAUUUUGGCUUUUAUAUCCCCCUUCAGUUGUUGAAGUUUCACUUUCAGAAUCUCUAGCGAUUUCAUUUCAUCCAUGACUUGGUCUCCUCUCAUUUCCAUCUCUUUCUCUUCAUCUUUGAUGUUUCUCCUUACCUUCAACAACAGUUCUUUUCUAUUCUCACGUCUAGUUUUCAUCUGGAUGACUUUUUCUUUUUCCUGGUUACAUUUUUUUAUCUCUUUUUUUAUCAAGUCUUGUUUUGUGUCUUGUAAGAUCACCCUUUUUAUACCAUCCUUAGUCGUUUCUCUUUUAUAUUCUUUCUUUACAGUCAGAUACUCAGUACUGUGUUUUUCUUUUUGUUUGCCCCAAAACAUUUUAUUGAAAUCUUUCAGUUUCAUUUUUUUUUCAGUUUCUUUUAUUUCAGUUGUUUUCCUUUCCUCUUUUAUGUUUUCAUUUUUUUGUUUUAAUAUGUCUAUUUCUUUUUUGAUUUUACAGCCUCUCAUGUCAAGUUUCUGGUUCUUUUUCAACAACUCUUUCACUCUUUCAAGAUCCUCUUUGUCUUGACUCUCGUCUGCACUUAAGUCAUCCAAGGCAUCUUUUUCUAUCUCAUAUAUUUUUUCCCUUUCAUUUUCAUGCUUUCCUUGCUCCGUCUUGAUUUUUGUCUCCACUUGUUCCCCAUGUUUUGGCUCUUGUUGUAUGUUUUUUAAUGCACACCGUAUAAUUUCCUUUUGCCUAUUUAAUUCACUUUUAAUAUUCAGUGUUUCUUUCCUUUUGGUCAUGUAGAAAUUUUUUUGGUCUUGCAUGUGUUUAUUUUCAUUCUGAAUUAUUCCAAUGAUGAAUUGAGUGUUUUUAAUUACCUUUUUAUAUUCCCCUAAGUAUUUCUUGAUUAGUUCCCAUUGUUUUUGAAUUUGUUUCCUUUUUUCUUUCAUCCUCAUGUCUUCAAUUUCACUUUGCAUCCCUUUCUUUUCUUUUUGCAACUUCUGCUUUAUUUCUUGUUCACCUUGAUGUUUGAUGAUCUCCUCUCGUCGUUGUUCAACCUCCUUUUUCUGCUUUGUUUCUCUCACGAGGGCAGUUCUUUCUUCUUUGAAAGUAGCCCAUAUUCUUUUUAUCUUCUGUUCUUUUUGAAUGCUUCUUUUGAUUACACGUUGGUUUUCUCUUUUCUUCAUCUCCAGCUCAACCACCAGAACUUCUAUCUCUUGUCUUUCCCUUUUAAUAUUUUCUAGUCUCAUAUCAAGCUUCUGUUUUUCUCUUUGGAUUUUUUCCCAGAUGUUGAUUGUUUCAUCCAUCUCUGCAGUGUCUUGUAUGGUAACUCUUCCAAAGAGUAUAUUAAGCUGAUAUUUUAACCUCUUCAUUUUGUUUGUUAUAUUCUUAUUUUCAGCCUCAACUUCUCUGAAUCCUUUUUUGUCCUUUUCUAAAUGAGCAUUCACAUUUUCUAGAAUUUUCAUCUCUGUCCUAAUUGUUCCCAUGUGUAAAUUAAACUUGUCUCUUAUGUCUUGGAUGUAAAUAGUAUACUGAGAAACUUUUAAGCUGUGGUUUUUGAUUUUCUCCAUUAACAUUUUCACAUCUUUCCUUCCAAAAUGUUUUUCAUGUUCAUUGGGUAGAUGGAUGAACAGAUUAUGGUCUCUCUGCUUCUCCUCAGCCAGCUCUUCCAUCUGUCGUUUCAAUUUUACCCUUAACACUUCUAGUUCAUCCCUUUUUCUCAUAGUCAUCUCCAGUCUUUGGUCUAAUUCUCUUCUUUUCUUUUUGAUCUCGGUCCUCAAUGCUUCCUUUUCUUGUUGUAUUUCAUACCACAUUAUUUCAAUUUCCUCCUUUUUUCUCAUACUUUUUCUAAAAAAACGCUCAAAUUCUUUUACCUUUAUUUUCAAUUCUGAUUGCAGCAGCUCCAUUUCUCUUAUUUGCCUUUUGGUCAUGUGUACUCCGUCAUCAAGCUCCUGUUCUUUUCUUUCAGUUUUCUCCCUCAAAUGGUUCACCUGUUCCUCCUGUAUUUCUGUUUCAGUUAGCUGUUUAACCAUUUUCUCAUUCUUUAUCGCUGUUUGGAUCUGUUCUGUCAUCUCAGUCUCUUCUCUCUUGAUUAUUUGUUUUACAUUCUCACUAACUGAUUUUUUAUUUUUUUGACCCAGACUGUCUAAUGAAAGUUUUACCUCCUCCAGUUUCUCAUUAACUUGUUUGAGGCUUUCUGUUCCCUCAGUUUCUUUGUCCAUUUUGUUUUUUGUCAGUUUAUCUCUUUUAUUGUCCAUUGUCUUCUUAAUUUCAGUCUUGAAAAUUUCAAGAGCAGUUCUUUGCUUAGGUGUACUACCAUGUUCCAUGUCUGGUUUUGCGCCUUUUGUCAAGUUAAGGUUAAUGCAGUCAAGGUCUUUAAACUGUCUUAGUUUUAUUUCAGUCUCCUUCAUACUAAUUUCUAUCUCUUCAAUUUUCCUUCUGGUCUUAGCAGCUAUUUUCUCGACUGUGCUCUUAACUUUUGCCAUUUUUUCUAAAUUCUGCCGAAUCAGUUCAGUUUGCCUCUGCAUUUUUAUUUUAAAGAUGUCUAAUCCAUCUCUCUCUUUCAAAGUAUUUUCUAAUCUUUGAUCUAAUUCUCUUCUCUUCUUUUUCACUGCAGUUUUCAUUGAUUUUAUAUUGCUCAUUUCUUCUGUCAUAUGUACUUCACUUUGCUUUAUUUUGGUUUUUACAAUUUCCAAAAACUCUUGAAACUGUUUGAUGUCUUUUAGCAAUCCUUCAAUUUCACUGCCUUCAUUCUGUUGAUAUUUGUCCAUGUUAUUUUUUUCCGCUAGGUUCUCAAGUCCUCCUCUUAGCGUUCUUAUAAUCUCUUGUGUUUUGUAAAUCUCUGCCCUGAGUCUUUGUAUAUCGGCUCCUCUGUCCUUUUUAUCUUCAUCGGUGUGUUCAACAUGUUUUUUCAUCUCUUCUCCUGAUUUCUGAAUUAGUUUUUGCUUGUUAACAUUAAGCCUUAUCAAGCUAGACUCUUGUUUUAUUUUUUUGGCAUCGUCCCCCUCUUGUACUUCAUAUUUUAUUAUUUCAUUUUUGAAAACUUUGGUGUUCAGCAUCAAAAUCUUUCUCUGUUCAGUUUCUUCCAACAGCUUAGUUAAUACUUCCUGGGCAUUUUCAGUUUCCCCGACUGUAAUUACAGUGUCUGCCCUCUGCAGGUCAUUUAUUUCCAAAAUGAGCCUUUUUAUAUCUUGAGUUUUUUCGUUCAUGUUAUCAAUAGUGUACUUUAUUUGUUCCUUUAUUUCCCCCUCUUGCUGCUUUAGGUUACGUAUCAGUUUUUCCACUUCUUCCCUUUCUCUUACAAUUAUCAGUAAUUCAGUUUUAUCAUGCACUACUUCUUCAUGAAUUUCAGUUCGCAUCUGUAAGCAAAAGUCCUGCUCCCCAUUUUUGCCUUCUGCAAAACAAUAUUUGGAUUCAAAAUGCUCCUUCUGUUGUUCUUUUAUUUUUUUAUUUUGAUGCUGAUCAUCUAAUGUUACAGAAUUUUGUAAUGAUGUUGUAUCUGUUAUACUUUUUUUCCCUUUUUUGUCCUUUGGAAUUGCUGAUGUUUGAUCCUCAAGGGAGUCUGUGUCUAUUUCAUACUGUGAUUCUUGAAGUUUGGAUGCGUUCACUGAAAAAGUAUGUUUGAUUGUAGAUUGUGCCAAUAUCCAUUUGUUGACCCAAGUUUUCAUGGAUGUCAGUUUUUCCUUCACAAAAACAGAAAAAAAGAGCUUUUUUUGUUUUUGAUGACACCAAGACAACAAUAAAGAUCUUCUUAAAACAUCUAUGUUUUAAUUUUUUGUUUCACAUUUAUGGAUCUUACUAGGGUUGGGCCAUAUGUAAAAAUUUUCCAACCGACAAUUGUCAGUCCAAUAAUCGACGAUGGGCGAUAUAUUCGCGCAUACGCAGACUUGUUGAUUGGCAGAGCAAUGUAGCCAUGCAUGGAGUGAUUUGCACAUUUACAACACAGAUGAAGUCCAAACAUGGACGAACUAAUUUCCCCAAAAAAUUAGGGCUGUCAACAUUUAUGCGGUCAUCACGAUUAACCCAUCUGGAGUGCAGAAUGAAUAAACUUUGGACAAACUGCUCGAAAUGCGUUGAGAGAGACAUUUAAGGGAUUUUGACUCAGUCUGCGAUCCAGAUGGGUUAAUUGUUAAACGCGUUAGUCGUGAUGGUGGCACUUUAACGUUGACAGCACUAAAGAAAUAUAAAGUUGCCAAGUUGGGAUUUCUUUGGCUUUAAACCAGAUGAAAAUAGUAAACCUAAGGAUGUAACCAAAACGGUCUGCCCCUUGUGCAGAUGUAUAAGUAUAAGUACUCAAACACGACUAACUUGCAUGAGCAUGUACGUGUCCACCAUCUGGCUGAGUAUGCUAGUGUAGUGAAGCAGAUUUUGGGGUAGGAUUUUACGUGAUGUCCUCGAUUGCAGCACUAACAUCCACCUUCCCAGCUGAUAAUUAGCAACCUUAUAAGAAACAGCUGCGCUUCACUACCACAUGGAGGUAUUUGGCAGUCUUUUCCCAUCCAAGGUGGCUGAGAGCAUUAGGCAGCUUAAGCACUGCAGAGCUCCUCAGGAAAGCUGCUCAUUUUAGUAUUGCCCUUUAGUAGUGAUGGCCAAAUGAAGCUUUCCGAAGCACUGAAGCUUGUAUUGAAAAACGGUUCAUUACUCGAAGCUUUUCAACACAGUCCUCUCUGGUGACAUCUGGUGGCCAAAAAUACAAAGAGCAGCUUGAAUCCACAAAAUAAAACCAACUGCUUCAUUAUGAUUGCCCACUCUACUGAGUGGAAUUCUGUCUGAUAUUGGGCCGCCGUUGUGUUGCUUUGAACGUGUAUUUUUUGGUGGUUAAAAAAAUGUGUUUUAUUUGUUUAAUAAAUAGUUUUGACCAGUAAACUCUCCUUGUUAUGCACCAUGGUGUGGUCUUCCUUUGCUUGUGACUUCUUGAUGUUGGUAAAUACAAUAAUUGAAAAAUACCACGUUACAUAUAAUAUGUACAACACAUUAUGGAGUAUGCUUCUGCUCUGAGGUCCUGCCUCCAUGCACUUAUGCAAUCAAUCGCUAGACAGGUGUAUUUAUAAAUAAUAUUAUAUUAGGGAAAUUUCCCCAGACAUAUAUUUGACCUGGGGGUAGAAUUGAUUGUGAAAUGGAAAAGGAAAAUGCUUAUGAACUUGCAAAUUAAAAACAUUAUGCAUUUAAGGUAACCCUUUUUCAUUUUUAUUUAAAAAGAAAAUUUGUUCUAGUGUGCGAUGGCCGAACCUGUUCCUUUUCGUGGAGAUAAUUUCUCCUGCCUUAAGGAAAAUCCCUUCACAUGGCCCAGAGGAGGCUGGAGUGCAGAGAAACUGGUAGAGAUGCAGUUAUACAGUCUACCUGGGCCCCACAAACGAUCAGAUAAAGAGAAUAAAUAAAUUCAAUUGCUGCACAUUUGGCAGACUAACAUUUUCAGAUUAAUUAAACAAUAAAAUAUAUAUUUUUACAACAUUACAUGUAAAGAGUCAAGUGGAAGUUUUUCUAAAGUUAUUUAAUGAUAUUUAUAUUAUGGAAGCAGAUUUUUGACAUUUUACCUUUUUCCCGUUUUCAGAUAUAAUAAACACGCACAAAACAAAAGCAAACGGCCAGAACACAAAGCUGGAAAACCCACCGGAUUGACAAAAAAUCAACUCAAAAUUCUCCCACACAACAGAACCUCCUCAAUUCCUCGCUGGCUCCAAAUCUCUCAGUGGAAUGAUCAGUGGUUCGCUGUCACCAUCAAAACACUCCACAAAUCCCGUGAAUGAUUCGCUUCCUUAUAAACCAUUGAAUCAGAUACCGAAGCAGUUAGGCUCUAAAUGAAGCUUCGGACGUCACCGAUCACGUGACUCUGGCCAAACGAAUCAAGCUUCGACACAGUGCUUCUGAAGCAGUGUGUUGAUUUUUUUGACACACGCACCAGAGCUUCAGCUUCAAGCGGGUCAUCACUACCCUUUAGAGAAUGGUAAGAGGGACUCUUGCAUUUGUCAUAAUGUGGCAUAUAGUAGGGUGGACCUUGACGACUGUUUCCCUCUUUUGUUACAGGAUUGUGCCAUACUGCUGCUGUUUUGUGCUAUCUUGUUUUGUGUCGUUCUUUCUUGUUCAGUUUUGUUCUGUCUUGUUGUGGCCUUACAAAUGUUUAUGGACUGGCCUCGACUGACUCUUUAUGAUCUUUUACUUGGAAUUGUUUUAUAUAUUGUAAUCUUGCUUUUAUAAAGAACUGUAACUUAGGGAUGGUUUGUUUUAUUUAUCUCUUUUACUAAUUUGUUUAAUGUUUUACGCUUAGUUUUAUUGCUUUAGUGGAGGUGCGGCCGCUUGUUGAGGGGCUAGGCACAUGAGGUGGAAUCCCCUCCUCGAUGCAUGAGAGUGUACACACCAGGCAUAGGUAGACCGCACCAUUUAGAUUUCAGUGUGAGUGACGGUGAGGUUUGCUGUGGAACUACAUUGGUGAGUAAUUGGUGGUACCCUUGGGCACUCCUCUCUGUAGGUUGCCUCAAGUGGCCGGUCUCAACUAUUUUGUUUAGUUACUUUAUCGAGUUAUUUUACUAGGGUGGCAGCGAGCCUUGUGGUUUUAAUCAUUGUUUGUUAAUUGUUUUAAUUAACAGUCUUGCAGUCUUGGCCCUGCUACCCUAAGAACUCUGAUUUCAGUUCUAUGCUUUUUAGUAGUUUUUCUUAAUAAAUUUUGAUUUGUAAAACUGAUCUGCCUCACCUCUGCUGUUAAUAACUAGCCUGUGGGCUUAGGUAGAUAGUGUAACAUCUACACUGGCUAUAAAAAAAUCUUUCCUGGGGUGUAACUCUCCUCUCAGGUGGCGUUGUCACCUUCCCUGGUUAUCCCUCAUUUGCGCCACCACACAAGGCUAUCACCAGCUUCUGCAGCUCCAUCAACAAGCAUUUGGGCACACUCUCAGGAGGGUGCAUUUGCUCACAGAUGACAGAGGGUGCUUUUAAACCAGUACUCUUAAUAUUUUUUUUUUGACUGAUUCUAUUUGCUCCAUCAUUAUUAGCAAACUUACUCAUGGGCAAAUAAAUAAAUCGCCAGUGGGCUCAGCCUAUAGUUGAUAUAUUCGUCCAAUCACCCAACCCUAGAUCUUACACAGACUGCUAUGCUCCUGAGCCUGGCAGUUGCAAUAAAUGUAGAAAUCUUCUAUCUCACUUAGGCUACAUCCACAGGUACCCGGGUAUUUUUGAAAACACAGAUUUUUCUAUGCAUUUGCACCUUUCGUCCACAUGCAAACGGUGUUUUCGGUCACUGAAAACAGAGAUUUUUAAAAACUCCAGCCAGGGUGGAUAUUUUUGAAACCUCAGUUUUUGCGUUUACGUGGACGAGAAAAAAGGAGAAAACGCAGCAUCAAAGGUGUGCGCAUUUUUUGACGUCAUACUGUGCGCCACGUUAUUGUUUCGAUGAAAUGAGUUUCUACAAUGGUGGACUUACACAAAAUACCAUUACUGUUAAUUUUACUCUGCAGUGUUUAAAUGCUUACACAUUUGCUGUCCCUCCACACAUAGGACUCAGUUCUGCUUCUAUUCGCCAUCUUUGUUUACUCUUUCCCACCCAGGCUGACUUCUGAUUGGCCAACAUUUCUACACGGAUAGGAAUAUAGCGCCACCUGCUGCUUUGGCAUGUUCCUAGCAGCGUUUUCCUUUGUUUUUGGCUUUUACGUGUGGAUGGGAUUUUUUUUUUAAAAAUGGAAAAUCUCAGUUUUCAAAAAUACCCAUGUAAGUGUGGACGUAGCCUUACAUGGAUAAGGAUCAAGAUGACAUGGAAUGAGUUUACUACUAUGAGCAGAAGUUAUUCAUGCUUAACUGUAAAUGUUUACUGUUCUUUUUUUUCAUUAAAUUAAAUAUAACAUUAUCAGCAUCUUAUCAGCACAGUGUGAUGCCAUUCUGGUAGCAGACUUAGCUUUGAUUACACACAGGCACACUGAUGUCUGCAUGGACAUUUGUGCCCACCGUCUGAUGACAUAAUUUACUUUACUAUAGCAGACUUAAGUGCACUCAAUCAUUCUUCACCUUUCUUUCUCUAUUGCCUGCCACUGGUGUAUGUCUAUCUUUUCCAUGUUUAAAGGGCACCCCCCACCCCAAAACAAAAAAACACAUCUGGUGGUAGGCGGUAUUUUCGCCACUGACUCCAAAAUCCACCGUUCCCAAUGCAUAACUGAUUAUUUUUACACAUUCUUUUGCAUUUCAGUUUGUUAGGUUUAUACAGUAAAAUUACUUAUGUAAUUAACAUUCCAUGCUUGAACCAAGUGGGAAACAUUGGAGAAAAAGUCAGAAAUGUUAACUUUGCAUAGCCUGGGGAUAGUUCUUAUCAUCUUUAGGAUGGCUAGAAUAAUUUCCACAACUUAUUGACAACAGCAACUACAGUAUGUGGAUAUCAGUAACCAUACCCUUUCAAUUGUCAGAAUAUUAAAAAAUUAUGUAUACGCAAAUUACAAUUUCAAGCUCAGUUAAACCCAAACUGUUAUAUCAGGCAUCUUACUACUUUUUUACAGUUUUAUUGGAGUACUUAAUGGAGUAUUUCUUCCAACAAUUCCAGUCGGUAAAUAAAGGAAUCGUUAUCAAAUACUGAAUGUCUAUCAACUAAAAGCAGGUUCAAUAAAAAUCAGGGGAUCCUGACAAGAAAUACCUAAAAGGAAAGAAUAAAUACUUACCAUAUAGUUCUUGGCUUCUUCCUGGUUCUUACUAAUCUCCCUUUGGGUUCUCUGCAUUUUCUCCCAAGUGUUGUUCAUUUCUGCACCAGUUUUUUCUAUUUUACCUUUUAUCUCAGUGACAGUAUUUUCCAGUUUUUGUUCAACCCUUUCCUUUUGUCGCUGUAUUUUUGUCUUCAUGAUUUCUAACUCAUCCCUCUCUUUCCUUAUCUUCUCCAGCAAACGCUCAAGCUCCCUUCUUUUUUGCUUUUCUCGAAAAUUUGUCCAUUUCGUUUGAGCCUUUACUUCUGUAAAGUCCCUCAUGCUCUGCUUUGUUUCUUCACCCUUGUUACAAAGCACUUCAUUGUUUUCUUCUUCCUCAGAGAUCAAAUUCUGCAUGUAAGUAUUUGGUUUGUCUUUUUCUACAUUUUCCCUUCCUGUCUUUAGUUUCAUUUCAACUCUCUUUAAAUCAUCUCUUUCAGGCUGGAUGUGUGUCACUUUAAAGCUUAGAUCUGAAUCUUGUUGCUUUUGAUAAUCAAUAUUCAUCUUGAUGUUCAUGUGAUUGUUCUCUGCCAUUAGCUGCUGCUUUGCACUUUGAGUCACUUCCAGUUGUUGUUCACUGUCUUCCAGCACAUCCCAAAGUUUCUCCAUCUCUUCCUGGAUUCUACACAGUUUUCUCUUCACUGUGUCAAAUGUGGCUUUUCCAUCGUUUCUUUCUCUCUGUCCUUCUUUAUACAUGUGAAUUUUCUUCAUUUCAGCCUGUUUUAUAAUGCUUGCCCAUCUGUGCUUGACCAUGUUGAUCUUUACAUACAUAAUAUGUUUAAUGUGGUUAAUUUGUUCACUGUUUUUUGAAAUGUCCUUUUUAUUUCUUUUUAAUGCUUGCUGUAUGUUUGCUUUAGUUUUCUCCAUUUUUUCUUUAACUUUCUUUACUUCAAGCAUUAUUUCCCUGUUUUUCUCAGUUGCAUUCUCCAGUAUAUCCAGUUCCCGCUUUACCUGCUCAUUAAGGGGCUCUUUGGGUUCCUCCCUUAUUGGUGAUUCUGUCUUACUAGCUUUUAUAGUGUCUAGCUUGUGUCGCUCGUUGAUGAAGUAUUGACGUCUUCUGUCCAGAGUAUCCUUUUCUUGAUAUAUUUUAGUCCACGUUUUCAGAAAGUUUGUUUUUUCCUUAGCAACUGAAUUUUUGCUUUGUUUGAGUUUCUCAGUUAUAUUUUUUAUUUGGAAGUUAAAUUGCUUUAAUAGUAGGUGAUGUUUAUUUUUUUCAGAUGUCAGUCUCUCAAUGUCUUCCUGUUGCCCCUCUGUCUUUGUCUUUAAGAAGUCAAUUUCAUUUGUCUUUCUUUCUGUCUGUCUCCAGAGUUGUUCGAUCUCCUCCAUUGCUUGACAUAUCAGUUGCCUUUGUCUUUUUAAAGUUUCUUUUUGGGUUUUCAUGUCAGUUCUUGUUUGUUUGCUAUCUGAUUGCUUUCUGUUUUCCAUUGUUGAGUUCCAUUCUGUUGUCAUCCUGCUGUCUUUGUUCUGUUGGUAAAAAUAAAUGAAUAAACAAAGUGGCCAAACCAUAACUAACAAAUGACAAGACAUUCUAAACUCAUACUGUGUUGGAAGAUAACAAGUAAAAGAGGGAUAACCAGAAAUUGACAGAUGGAUUGGGGCCACAACUGCAGUCAUGUGGAUUCUGUACCAGUCCAUCAUGGUGAACAGAGAGCUAAAUAUAAAAGCGAAGAUCUCAAUUUACUGUUUGCUCUACAUCCCUACCCUCACCUAUGGUCAUAAGCUUUGGGUAGUGAUUGAAAGAACAAGAUCACAGAUACAAGCAUGACAUUAGCUUUUUCUGAAGGGUGGCUGCUAAUCCUGCACAUUGAAAGAAGCCAGUUCGGGUGGUUUGUGUGUCCCACAGGGCGGAGGCCCUGGAGGCCUGGGGUUCUCUGCUUAGACUGCUGCCCCCACGACCCAGCCACAGAGAAGAUGGAUAAAUGACAUAAUUGUUUAUAUCACAUUUACAGUAUUUUUUUGGCAACAAUGUAAUAAUGUAGUUGGGUUAUCUGAGGUCUGUUCUAUAGCAAAUGUAGAAAAAAUGUUUUAAGAAGAGCCAAUAUAACUCAGUGUUCUAAAGAAUGUGACUGUUUCCUUGCAAGACCAUAGCGCGGCUACGUCUGCAGCCUGUCCACAGCUUGGACACAAACAUUUCACUGCAUGUGUUACUCUGUAUGAUUGUUGUUUAAUGCUUUUUAAAAUCAUAUUCAAGUAGAUUUUGAAAUGAAGAUAGCUUGUAUUUUUGUUUUUUGCAUUAGAGGUGUUUAAGAAAAGUUGAGUUUUGUAAUUGCAUUUUUACCUUGUUUAUACUUGUACUUUUUUUUUUUUUUAAUAAAUAUCUUGUAUGUAAGGUGACCUUGAGGGUCUUUAAAGGUGCUUAUAAAUAAAAUGUAUUGUUGUUGUUGUUAUUGUUAUUGUUAUUGUUGUUAUUAUUGUUAUUAUUGUUAUUAUUGUUAUUAUUGUUAUUGUUGUUAUUGUUAUUGUUGUUAUUGUUGUUAUUAUUGUUGUUGUUGUUGUUAUAUUUUUUCUCAAUAAUAAUAAUAAUAACACAAAUGCAUAAGCUGCAAACAUGUUAUAUAGUUGUUUGGAAUAGAAUUACAAUGAGAUUAUCUUGGUUUAACAAGAGGUAACUGGAUAUGUUCAGACUUUAAAUGUAAACAUAGCCAAUUUGCAUUGAAUUACCC
ensembl:lncRNA